CAAUAAUCAAGGAUCGAACAGUUCCAUCCCUAUCCAAGCAAAAAAGAGUAUUGCCAGAAACCUUUGUAAUAUAUAUUGGAACAUCGAGGGUUCUGAUUAUACCACUAUCUCCAUUCGGAAGGCAAUACUUAAUGUGGUUUAGGGUUGUGUAAAUAAAAACCCCAUUAUCAUCCCAUGCUCCACUCUUUACACGAAUUGUUUCAUGGAGAGUGCACUGGUGAACAAGCUUCUUGUUAGCAAUAAUAAUUGCAUGUUUGCUAAGCAAUGCAACACUCUCCAUAUCAUUGGACCAAACAACGUACUUAACAAAAGGGGUUUGAAGAUCACCAAGAAUAAUUCUUUGUUGAAGAUCAUAUAUAACAACUCUAUCCUCUGCUCGGCACAAUAAAUUACCAGUUCCAGCAUAAAAUAUUGCAUCUGCAGUAAUGGGAAUAGGGACCUUCUUAACAACCUCAUUCUUAAGAUUUUUUAACAAGACUUGGUUGUGACUUUUAUCAAGCACAGCAAACCUAUUCCGAG
rnacentral:misc_RNA from 1 species